AUUGGACGCUGGCGGCAGGCCUAACACAUGCAAGUCGAGCGGAUGAAGGUGGCUUGCUACCUGAUUCAGCGGCGGACGGGUGAGUAAUGCCUAGGAAUCUGCCUGGUAGUGGGGGACAACGUUUCGAAAGGAACGCUAAUACCGCAUACGUCCUACGGGAGAAAGUGGGGGAUCUUCGGACCUCACGCUAUCAGAUGAGCCUAGGUACGAUUAGCUAGUUGGUGAGGUAAAGGCUCACCAAGGCGACGAUCGUUAACUGGUCUGAGAGGAUGAUCAGUCACACUGGAACUGAGACACGGUCCAGACUCCUACGGGAGGCAGCAGUGGGGAAUAUUGGACAAUGGGCGAAAGCCUGAUCCAGCCAUGCCGCGUGUGUGAAGAAGGUCUUCGGAUUGUAAAGCACUUUAAGUUGGGAGGAAGGGCAGUAAGUCAAUACCUUGCUGUUUUGACGUUACCGACAGAAUAAGCACCGGCUAACUUCGUGCCAGCCGCCGCCGUAACAC
rnacentral:rRNA from 1 species